rnacentral:rRNA from 1 species
AAAUUGAAGAGUUUGAUCAUGGCUCAGAUUGAACGCUGGCGGCAGGCCUAACACAUGCAAGUCGAACGGUAACAGGAAACAGCUUGCUGUUUCGCUGACGAGUGGCGGACGGGUGAGUAAUGUCUGGGAAACUGCCUGAUGGAGGGGGAUAACUACUGGAAACGGUAGCUAAUACCGCAUAACGUCGCAAGACCAAAGAGGGGGACCUUCGGGCCUCUUGCCAUCGGAUGUGCCCAGAUGGGAUUAGCUAGUAGGUGGGGUAACGGCUCACCUAGGCGACGAUCCCUAGCUGGUCUGAGAGGAUGACCAGCCACACUGGAACUGAGACACGGUCCAGACUCCUACGGGAGGCAGCAGUGGGGAAUAUUGCACAAUGGGCGCAAGCCUGAUGCAGCCAUGCCGCGUGUAUGAAGAAGGCCUUAGGGUUGUAAAGUACUUUCAGCGGGGAGGAAGGGAGUAAAGUUAAUACCUUUGCUCAUUGACGUUACCCGCAGAAGAAGCACCGGCUAACUC